UUUGUGGGGCUUGUAGCAGGUAUUUAAAAACAGCAACGGGCGAAGCAGACGCGUCUUCCUCUCGCGCUCUCCAGUAAUGUCACUUCCGAAAAUCCUUUAUCAAACACUUUCUUCACAGAAUGGACUUUUUAAGACGUGAAAUCUUCUGCAAACUAUUUUUUUUUUGUGUGUUAUGCCAUGCCGUUUGGACUUUGGAUCAACAUCAGGAGAAGUGGGCAUCCUGAGGAAUGAAAUGGAUAACACUUAUGAUAUGAUGUCUUGAAUUCAGGUCAGUGCUAAAUCACAUCACGUCCGUAGUCAUACAUUCAUGGAUCAUCCACAUUCAUCCACCUGUGCCAAACCAAAGACAAAAAUCAGUCUAGUCAGACGUUCACCCAGUAACCUUUGCAUAAAUAACAAGCUCAUCAAAGACAUUAAGAGAAAGUACACAUGAGAAGGACCAUAUGCACAGAAACAAGACACACAUACGAAAGCAAUGCAUGCUUGCACGUCCCACUGAUACACAUAGAAAGGUGUCUGUCACUGUUAAUAUCAUUCUGUCUGCUAAGUGAACCUCUCAGUCACCUCUCAUUUCCUUCUCCUCAUCAUCAUUCUGGCUCUCCUUUUUUACUCUUUCACACACAAGUAGACACAUCAUCAUCAUCAUCAUCGUCAUCAUCUCACACAUAUCACCAUCACUGGACAUGCACACCAUGCAUAUCCAGAAAUGGAGAGAUGCUCUUUCUGAGUGAAAGAUGGAGAGAUGACAAGUAAGAGGGGAGAACACAAGAAGCACAUUAGUUAUCGCUCUCUCCCUUUCACAUCCCAUUAGAGUUACACUCUUCCAUCUGCUCCCUCACUCUUCUUCACCUCUAACAGUCUGUUCUGCUGCACUUUAGUACAGCGGCCUACCUGACUAAAUGACACUUCACACCACACACACACACAGAUGACCUGCUGAAAUAUUUACAAAGCUGCAGGAUGGGGAAAAAAAACAAAGAUUGAUGGAAUAAAAGU